GGAUGUCCGUCAGGGCCGUCGUUUGUGCUGUGGAUUCGCCGGUCGGUUGUGGAUCAAUCGCGACGUUUGCUCCAGUCGUCAGCGCGUUUUGUUGUCCCUUCGUUCUUUACCUACAGAAGUCUAGCGCCAGAUGCUUGAGUCGAUAUUUCGAGUGAAUGCGUGGAACGUGUUUAAUUGUGGAGGGUGGCCUAGUGCUUGAAUAUACCAAAUUGGCAAAGGAUUAGGAGCUGUCCCAUCAAAAUGCUUAUUUUGGAAAAAGCUCGUGACUUGUAGCACCGAAUUUUGCCAGCUACUAGCCACCGACGCUAAUGAUGAUUACUCGUCCAAAAACAAUGCAACAACGUGUCACCGCCACAACACAAUGUUUCUCAAUAUCCUUUGGCAUGACCGUCGUUUGUCUCGACCCAAGUGAAGCACUAGCCAUGCAAUUCACCUCAGAAGUGGAGCCUCCUCUGGGAGGACACGAUUGCAAUGAAAGAAGUUCAAACCGUAAGCUGGCGGUGGUGGUGGUUAAUUUUAAGUGCUUCUUCGCAGAAGAAAACAGCAUGGCGCACCUCGAGUGAAACCGAGUGUUUUUGUAGUCAACAAAGGCGACAACAGCUAGAUUUAGCUUUUCAACGAAUCAUCAGGCUAAUUAUCUGGUUAUUCAGAAGUUGUAGAAAUGGAAUUUUGCUGACCUGAAAGCCUUAGAGUGGGAUCUAAAAUGUGUCAAUGAUGUGAAGAAAGUCACUGGAUAGGCAAACAGUAGGUCGGUGUCUGUUGUAGAUUAGGAUUAUUAAACGUGAUUAUUGCAUCCGGAAGUGAAUUUCAGAAAAUGCUAGGCUAACAGUCUAGAUCUAAGUAGAAUGGUAGGAAGAAGUGAUUGAGUUGCGGUGGGAGCUUUUCGUAACAGCAAUAUCCUUCCAAAAAUAGCAACCGAAGUGUAAGCUGAAAAUUAAAUCCGAAAGAGUGUUUGUUUGACCAGUGAAAAUAGCCCGGAGAUGGUCGAAUCGUACGAGAGCUAUCGGUGCUCUCUACUUUCACCGUAAUUUGGGGCAAAAGUGAUU